rnacentral:rRNA from 1 species
GACGAACGCUGGCGGCGUGCUUAACACAUGCCAGUCGAACGGAAAGGCCCUGCUUUUGUGGGGUGCUCGAGUGGCGAACGGGUGAGUAACACGUGAGUAACCUGCCCUUGACUUUGGGAUAACUUCAGGAAACUGGGGCUAAUACCGGAUAGGAGCUCCUGCUGCAUGGUGGGGGUUGGAAAGUUUCGGCGGUUGGGGAUGGACUCGCGGCUUAUCAGCUUGUUGGUGGGGUAGUGGCCUACCAAGGCUUUGACGGGUAGCCGGCCUGAGAGGGUGGCCGGCCACAUUGGGACUGAGAUACGGCCCAGACUCCUACGGGAGGCAGCAGUGGGGAAUAUUGCACAAUGGGCGGAAGCCUGAUGCAGCAACGCCGCGUGCGGGAUGACGGCCUUCGGGUUGUAAACCGCUUUCGCCUGUGACGAAGCGUGAGUGACGGUAAUGGGUAAAGAAGCACCGGCUAACUACGUG